UACGUAGGGUGCAAGCGUUAAUCGGAAUUACUGGGCGUAAAGCGUGCGCAGGCGGUGAUGUAAGACAGAUGUGAAAUCCCCGGGCUCAACCUGGAACUGCAUUGUGACUGCACGGCUGGAGUGCGGCAGAGGGGGAUGGAAUUCCGCGUGUAGCAGUGAAAUGCGUAGAUAUGCGGAGGAACACCGAUGGCGAAGGCGGCAUCCUGGACCGGUAUUGACGCUGAGGCGCGAAAGCCAGGGGAGCAAACGGG
rnacentral:rRNA from 1 species